rnacentral:rRNA from 1 species
CCCGUUAAUGGGUGAUGGCGUGCCUUUUGUAGAAUGAACCGGCGAGUUACGAUUUGAUGCAAGGUUAAGCAGUAAAUGUGGAGCCGUAGCGAAAGCGAGUCUGAAUAGGGCGUUUAGUAUUUGGUCGUAGACCCGAAACCAGGUGAUCUACCCUUGGUCAGGUUGAAGUUCAGGUAACACUGAAUGGAGGACCGAACCGACUUACGUUGAAAAGUGAGCGGAUGAACUGAGGGUAGCGGAGAAAUUCCAAUCGAACCUGGAGAUAGCUGGUUCUCUCCGAAAUAGCUUUAGGGCUAGCCUCAAGUGAUGAUUAUUGGAGGUAGAGCACUGUUUGGACGAGGGGCCCCUCUCGGGUUACCGAAUUCAGACAAACUCCGAAUGCCAAUUAAUUUAACUUGGGAGUCAGAACAUGGGUGAUAAGGUCCGUGUUCGAAAGGGAAACAGCCCAGACCACCAGCUAAGGUCCCAAAAUAUAUGUUAAGUGGAAAAGGAUGUGGCGUUGCCCAGACAACUAGGAUGUUGGCUUAGAAGCAGCCAUCAUUUAAAGAGUGCGUAAUAGCUCACUAGUCGAGUGACACUGCGCCGAAAAUGUACCGGGGCUAAACAUAUUACCGAAGCUGUGGAUUGUCCUUUGGACAAU